CCUACGGGUGGCAGCAGUGGGGAAUAUUGCGCAAUGGGCGAAAGCCUGACGCAGCGACGCCGCGUGAGGGAUGAAGGUCUUCGGAUCGUAAACCUCUGUCAGCAGGGAAGAACGGUCACUGUGUUAAUCAGCAGUGAAUUGACGGUACCUGCAAAGGAAGCACCGGCUAACUCCGUGCCAGCAGCCGCGGUAACACGGAGGGUGGGAGCGUUAAUUGGAAUUACUGGGGGUAAAGCGCUCGUAGGCGGUAUGUCAAGUCAAGGGUGAAAUCCCCGGGCUCAACGUGGGGACUGCCUUUGAAACUGGCAAGCUGGAGUGUGUGAGAGGAUAGUGGAAUUCCAAGUGUAGGGGUGAAAUCCGUAGAUAUCUGGAAGAACAUCAGUGGCGAAGGCGGCUUUCUGGC
rnacentral:rRNA from 1 species